ensembl:lncRNA
AUCGUUUGCUGGGAGCUUCUGGCUUGUGUCGAGGUUUAAAUUAUUCCGUUCCUUUCUUUAUCCGUUAACAAUUUCGUUUUCAUUUCUUUUAGUUUCACUUUCCUUUCUGCUGUAGUUUCAUUUUUUUUUCGAAGAACGCUUUUGUUUUUGUUUUUUGACUAAAGACAGCAAGUGGAGUCCACCCGUGUCGGAUCCGUCUGAAUAAUAUCAAAAAAUCUUCGACAGAGAAACUGAAACUAUGCCACUGAAGAAGACAGUCGGAGGAAAAAUGGCUGCAAAAAAGAAAACGAAGGCUAAGACAGCUAGACCAAAAGUGGCUUCAAAAAAGAAAACGAAGGCUAAUACAGUCAGAGCAAAAUCAGCUUCGAGAAAGAAAACAAAGACUAAGCCAGAAGUGAAUCAGGGACCAAAAAAAGGAAAAAAAGUUACAGUUCAAGGAAACAAGCCUGCACCUCCCAAAAUGAAAGCAAAUCCAAACACAGGAAUGAAGUCAACAAACAACAAACCAAAAGCUGGUGCAGUGAAAAGAGUGGUGGGACCGCAGAAGAGAAAAAAUCCUAAUCCAGCAGAAGGCCAGAAUCUAGCAAAAAAGAAGAGAAAGUCUCCAGCAUGUAAUACGCAAAGCAUGUCCGUGAUGGCUCUUCCUAAAGUCCAGCGAUCAAUUGCAUCUCCUCCGACCAUUCUUCCUGUUUGUAACGUCACGGUUCAAACAUCUGCCAGGAGCGAUUCUUGCCAGCCUUCAGGUGGCCCAAUGAAUCGAUUUAAUAACGGUGACACGAUCAACCAAGGAGUUACUAACAAUGCUGCAGUGUGUGCACAGAGAGAUAAGAUAGACAACUCUCAAUCUGGAAGCGACAAUAUUCAAGAUGAAAACCUGUUGUUUCUAAGGAAAAACAAUGUUAAGUUAAUCGACAGGCUAAAAAAUGUCGUCGAAAUCCUUGAUCGCCUCCAAUUAACCAACGAAAAAGCAGCGAUAGUGCGAGCAGAGAAGAUCAGGAGAGGAUGAGGAAGCUUCUGGAGUUCACGACCAGCACACAUGGUGCAGAACGUCUAGUCACAGCCUUGUGGAGCUGCGCAAGCGAUGUCAUGGAAGACCUGACCAACACCAACUGAAGAUCAACGAAUAGAUUCCAGCUCUGACGCAUCACUUCGAUUUCAUCGAUGAGUGAACGUCAACGGGUCAUAUCAUUUUUCUAAUGUUUUUAUCUAAAGUUGUUUGUUGUCUUAUUUUAUUAUUAUUAUUUUAUUUUUUUAUUUUUUUACAUACAUGUAUUUUUCUAUACCCAAGAUGUGACUUCUGACAUGAAGUUAAAAAAAAAAGGGAAAUUUUUAUAUCAGGUUCUUAAAUAAUGUUUUUAAAGAAAUUGCUGACAAUCAAGCUCAAACUUUUUCCAUCUCAAGCAAAGUCUAUUUUAUGCAAAUAAUUUAAGCAGUGGGUCUUCUUAGACAUGUUACCUGUUUAGCUAAGUUCAAUUGAACUCUUUAUUAGUCGUACUCUAAUACGCUAAGUGAUGCACCUCCACCCACUUUUUAACAAAAGAUUAAAUAGUAAAGACAAUUUUUCACAGCCUUCUUUGCUCAUAUUUACCAAGUCUGCCAAUAUUAGUGGAGGCCACUGUAUGUAAAUAAAUAAAUAAAUUAAAUAAAUAAAUAAAUAAAUAAAACUAUACAAAAAUGGUGGUGUUGAAUAUCUGUCUUAGUAAAAUGUGGUUAUAACGUUAUGAUCAGCCAUCAACUGACUAUAAUAUAUCUAUAUAAUAGUCAGCUGAUGGCUGAUCAUAUUGUGUUUUAAAAACUUGUUUAGUUUGCUCUACAGUCAUGUGUGCAGCUCUACUCAUCAAAACGUUCUCCAAUUUCUACUUCUGUUAGUUGUCACUGUGCUCUCCUUAUCAACAGGUGGCAGCACUACACAACAUGAUCAUCCUCUUGAUCUUAAGUACAAAAUUAUUUGUCAUUUGUCGUGUGAAGAAACUGGAUAACAUCUAGAGCAAACCCUAUGAUGGGUAAAGCUUUAUCUUGGCCAGAAAUGUAGACAAUGAGAAACAGUUUCGUAGGUAUUAAAACAUUCAGGGGGCAUGCGUCUAUGGGUAAAUAAUCAACAACAGGGUGGUGUGUUGUACCCUGGUACCCCAGUAACAGCAUGCUCUGAAAUGUUUGUCUUCCUCUUAUAAUCCAGCAAUUUGGCAGCAUUUACAAUUUCUCAUUUAUUAAUCAUACUGUUUAUCCAUUCAUAGAUGCAUUUACAUGCAGCUGGCACUAUUUUCAGACCUGCGCUUAUAGAAAAUGAGUCAACACCUUCUGAUCAAUCAGAAUUAAGCCGUGAUGAGCCUGGGGCUCCAAAUUGGCAAAGCUACUACCUCACAAAGAUUUCUACUGAAGGUCGUGAGUUCAAAUCUCAGCUCUGCCAGGCUGCCACUGUUGGGCCCUUGAGCAAGGGGUUCAUUUUUGCCAUCUGCAUCUCUGUGAGUAUCACUUAUGUCUCGCAGAUGUUAUAAACAUGAUUGAGAGUUUGGACGAGGGCUUGUUGCUGCAUGAUUUUUACAGUUUCGACACACGAUGUCUACACACAUUAAAACAGGAGCACGUAACGGCUCUUGGUGUGUACAGUACCGGCAUAAUGUUCUGACUGGCACUAACGCUUCUAAACACAUGAAUUAUGAAAAUAAUAUGACAUUUAGAUAUGCUGUAAGAGAAGCAUGGGUGUGAGGUAAUUUAUUCCUACUAACAGUGUAGUAGUUGCACAGAAAAAUUCUCAGAGGUGAGUCCCAGGCGUUUUUCAUUUUGGCCAAACACCCCACAUAUUCAAUUUUAUUUUAUCUGUAUAGUGU